rnacentral:rRNA from 1 species
GCCAACGGCCAUACCAUCCUGAAAGCGCCCGAUCUCGUCUGAUCUCGGAAGCUAAGCAGGGACGGCCUUGGUUAGUACCUGUAUGGGAGACCGCCUGGGAAUACCAGGUGUUGUAGGCU